UUUUUUCUGAAAAAGCUUCAAAACCUGACUAGAUUCGUUCUCUUUACUGAAAAGGGAAUAGAUUCAUCUUCAAAAUUGUCAAGGAUGGUGAAUAUGUGGAGGUUCUUUAGGGAAUCUGGACCAAGACCUCCUCAGGGGUGAAGGAAGCUCUAAGAGUAGCAAAGCACCAAAGAAGCAGCAGGCUAGGAGAACAACUGCUCCAAAAAGACCUAGGAAUGUCCUGAAACAAAUUAUCACAUCAAGGAGGGCAUGGAAGAAGAGGAAAGAAGCCAAGGAAACCAAGUCAACUAGGACUACCCAAACUUCAUCUUCACAAAGAGAGCAUCGA